rnacentral:rRNA from 1 species
GACGAACGCUGGCGGCGUGCUUAACACAUGCAAGUCGAACGGAAAGGCCCUGCUUUUGUGGGGUGCUCGAGUGGCGAACGGGUGAGUAACACGUGAGUAACCUGCCCUUGACUUUGGGAUAACUUCAGGAAACUGGGGCUAAUACCGGAUAGGAGCUCCUGCUGCAUGGUGGGGGUUGGAAAGUUUCGGCGGUUGGGGAUGGACUCGCGGCUUAUCAGCUUGUUGGUGAGGUAGUGGCGUACCAAGGCUUUGACGGGUAGCCGGCCUGAGAGGGUGACCGGCCACAUUGGGACUGAGAUACGGCCCAGAAUCCUACGGGAGGCAGCAGUGGGGAAUAUUGCACAAUGGGCGGAAGCCUGAUGCAGCAACGCCGCGUGCGGGAUGACGGCCUUCGGGUUGUAAACCGCUUUCGCCUGUGACGAAGCGUGAGUGACGGUAAUGGGUAAAGAAGCACCGGCUAACUACGUG